GUCCGGCACCCGUGUCGGCACUCGCGCCCAAGUUGUGAUGCACAAAUCGAGCCUGAUUCGUGCCGUCUUUACGCGCGCGUGAUUCAACAGGGCCGGCCCGCAAGCGCACCCGGCAUUGGUGCAAAAAAGGAUGACCGAGCCCGAGCGACUCCACCUCGUGACGACCAUCUAGAGUGCCGACAAGUGGCCCAACCCGCACCCCCCUGGCGGUCGACAAUGCCCCCGGAGAUCACCGUGCGGUGCGCCAAUGGGGGCUGCGGCCUGUAUGUAUGUAUGGCGUUGUUGCGCGCCACGACUUUUUGUCGGGUGCACAAGCCCAGUGACGCAGUGCACGAAAAAGACGGACGACCGAGCAAGCGCCCCUCCCUCUUGGUGGCCAAGAAUGGGACCAACCUUCUUUCCUUCUUCUCUUUUUUCUUUUUCCUGUUGCAUUCUUUUUUUUCCUUUUUUCGAUCUUGCCGCCGUCCUCCAAGAAAAAGAGCGCCGCAC
rnacentral:lncRNA from 1 species